rnacentral:misc_RNA from 1 species
AAAAUGCGAUACUUGGUGUGAAUUGCAGAAUCCCGUGAACCAUCGAGUUUUUGAACGCAAGUUGCGCCCGAAGCCAUCCGGCUGAGGGCACGCCUGCCUGGGCGUCAUGCAUCGCGUCGCUCCCCACCAUACCUCCCCAACGGGUUGGCAUGGUGUUGGGGGCGGAUAAUGGCCUCCCGUGCUUGUGUUUCGGUUGGCCUAAAUAAGAGUUCCCUUCGGCGGACACACGACUAGUGGUGGUUGAAUAGACCCUCGUCUUUUGUUGCGUGUCGUGAGCUGUAAGGGUAGCCCUCAUCAAAGACCCCAUUGUAUCGUCUUCGGAUGAUGCUUCGACCGCGACCCCAGGUCAGGCGGGACUACCCGCUGAGUUUAAGC